AUAUCAAUAAGCGGAGGAAAAGAAACCAACAGGGAUUGCCCUAGUAACGGCGAGUGAAGCGGCAACAGCUCAAAUUUGAAAUCUGGCCUCUUCGGGGUCCGAGUUGUAAUUUGCAGAGGAUGCUUCGGCGUUGGACCCGGGCUAAGUCCCCUGGAACGAGGCGCCCUAGAGGGUGAGAGCCCCGUACUCAUCCGGCCGUCCUUCGCCAUCUGAAGCCCCUUCGACGAGUCGAGUUGUUUGGGAAUGCAGCUCUAAGCGGGAGGUAUAUUUCUUCUAAGGCUAAAUACCGGCCAGAGACCGAUAGCGCACAAGUAGAGUGAUCGAAAGAUGAAAAGCACUUUGGAAAGAGAGUUAAAAAGCACGUGAAAUUGUUGAAAGGGAAGCUCUUGCCGCCAGACUUGCCGCGGUUGCUCAGCCGCCCCCCGGGGCGGUGCACUCUUCCGUCGGCAGGCCAGCGUCAGUUCGGGCGACCGGAUAAAGGCCCCAGGAAUGUAGCACCCUCCGGGGUGUGUUAUAGCCUAGGGUGCAAUGCGGUCAGCCCGGUCCGAGGUACGCGUUCGCGAGGACGCUGGCGUAAUGGCUGCAAGCGACCCGUCUUGAAACACGGACCAAGGAGUCUAACAUCUGUGCGAGUGUUUGGGCGUCAAACCCAUGCGCGUAAUGAAAGUGAACGGAGGUGGGAACCCCCUCGAGGGGCGCACCAUCGACCGAUCCUGAUGUCUUCGGACGGAUUUGAGUAAGAGCAUAGCUGUUGGGACCCGAAAGAUGGUGAACUAUUCCCGGAUAGGGUGAAGCCAGAGGAAACUCUGGUGGAGGCUCGCAGCGGUUCUGACGUGCAAAUCGAUCGUCAAAUCUAGGAAUAGGGGCGAAAGACUAAUCGAACCAU
rnacentral:rRNA from 1 species